rnacentral:rRNA from 1 species
UACGAAGGGGGCUAGCGUUGUUCGGAAUCACUGGGCGUAAAGGGCGCGUAGGCGGCCGAUUAAGUCGGGGGUGAAAGCCUGUGGCUCAACCACAGAAUUGCCUUCGAUACUGAUUGGCUUGAGACCGGAAGAGGUCAGUGGAACUGCGAGUGUAGAGGUGAAAUUCGUAGAUAUUCGCAAGAACACCAGUGGCGAAGGCGGCUCACUGGCCCGGUACUGACGCUGAGGCGCGAAAGCUAGGGGAGCAAACGGG